AACAUACUCCCUCUGUCCCAUAUUAAGUGUCUCAAAUUUGUUCAAAUAUGAAUGUACCUACACCUAAAAAACGUCUAGAUACAUAUAAUAUUUUGACACUUAAUAUGAGACGGAGGGAAUAUAAA
rfam:Brachypodium distachyon strain Bd21 chromosome 5, whole genome shotgun sequence.